AACGUGACCAGCCUUGGGUGCUUCCUGGGCUGCACCUAUGCCACCUUGGCCACCUGGAGGACCGCCCACCACUGCGGGCCCCCUGGAGCCCGACCACCUGGGGCGCCCCCACGUGGGGCCAUGUGCCGCCUGCACUUGGCUACCUAGUCUUUUCCCCAGCCUCUCCAGGCCCUAGCAGGAUGACAACCACAGCUUGACAGACUCCCAGCCUGCCAGGGCCCGAGACCCUGUGUCCACGUGACCUCAGUGAGUCCCCCACCUGCUGCAGGGGGUCCAGCACCCCACAGGGUGCAGCACCAGAACUGCGGGGAGCAGCACAAACUUUGCUGAGCCUCCCUGUCCAACCAAGCUCUUUAGACCAAGCCACUUCCUCCUCGGGGAGCCCAGGCCUCCGUGAGUUGGGCUGGGUGGGGGGGUCUCAGGUUGCCCCCGAAGGUCUCUGCACUCCUGCCCUUCGCCUGACAGAUGAACAGAUGCCUUCAUUGCCUGGAGCCGCCAGCGUGGUGAGCCAUUGGCCCCUGCCUGCCUCCAGGGUCCUAUGGUCAUGGCCAGCUCUGCCUGGGCCCCACUGGGGCUGCCUGCACCCAGAGACGAUGCUGCUGGGAGCUCAGAGCUCCCGAGGCCUAAGCCCUGUGUCCUCUAGCAGAGGUAUGGCCUGUGGCAGGGUGGCACUCCGGCCAGCCCUUCUCCGGCACAGGGUCCCUGUCCCUGGUUUACCCUGGGCUGCAGCUGUAUUUCUCCCAUUUUGGGAUGAGAAAGCCACAAAACUCUCCUGCAUUGUUCUUAAGGGCACCCCUGCUAAUUCAUUCCCCAAAUAAAAUUUUCGGUGUUGAUCUCCACA